rnacentral:tRNA from 1 species
UCCCUGGUGGUCCAGUGACUAAGACUCUGCCCUCCCAAUGCAGGGUCCCAGGUUCAAUCCCUAGUCGGGGAG